CGCCAGACUCCUACGGGAGGCAGCAGUGGGGAAUAUUGCACAAUGGGGGAAACCCUGAUGCAGCGACGCCGCGUGAGUGAAGAAGUAUUUCGGUAUGUAAAGCUCUAUCAGCAGGGAAGAAAAUGACGGUACCUGAUUAAGAAGCCCCGGCUAACUACGUGCCAGCAGCCGCGGUAAUACGUAGGGGGCAAGCGUUAUCCGGAUUUACUGGGUGUAAAGGGAGCGUAGACGGCAGCGCAAGUCUGAAGUGAAAUGCCGGGGCUUAACCCCGGAACUGCUUUGGAAACUGUUGAAUUGGAGUACAGGAGAGGUAAGCGGAAUUCCUAGUGUAGCGGUGAAAUGCGUAGAUAUUAGGAGGAACACCAGUGGCGAAGGCGGCUUACUGGACUGUAACUGACAUUGAUGCUCGAAAGUGUGGGUAUCAAACAGGAUUAGAUACCCCAGUAC
rnacentral:rRNA from 1 species